AGUGAACGCUGGCGGUAGGCCUAACACAUGCAAGUCGAACGGCAGCACAGUAAGAGCUUGCUCUUACGGGUGGCGAGUGGCGGACGGGUGAGGAAUACAUCGGAAUCUACUUUUUCGUGGGGGAUAACGUAGGGAAACUUACGCUAAUACCGCAUACGACCUACGGGUGGAAGCAGGGGAUCUUCGGACCUUGCGCGAUUGAAUGAGCCGAUGUCGGGUUAGCUAGUUGGCGGGGUAAAGGCCCACCAAGGCGACGAUCCGUAGCUGGUCUGAGAGGAUGAUCAGCCACACUGGAACUGAGACACGGUCCAGACUCCUACGGGAGGCAGCAGUGGGGAAUAUUGGACAAUGGGCGCAAGCCUGAUCCAGCCAUACCGCGUGGGUGAAGAAGGCCUUCGGGUUGUAAAGCCCUUUUGUUGGGAAAGAAAAGCAGCAGGUUAAUACCCCGCUGUUCUGACGGUACCCAAAGAAUAAGCACCGGCUAACUUCGUG
rnacentral:rRNA from 1 species